GAGGAGACUAGUUGGGAACACGAGUUGAGUCUGUGGCAGCACGAGGAUCUACUGAAACGCUACCAGCGUGAGGCAAUGAGGGCAUUGCCGGAUUGAGUGGGGGAGGAUGUCACCCCAUUUUUGUUGCUCCCCGAAGAUCCAAAUUUUUCUGCUUAUGUAUUGCUUGCUGGCUGCCUAUUUUGAGUCCCAUUUAUGUGUACCGAAUCUGCUUGAAAAUGGGACGUGAAUUGCAUGGGGCUGCAUGGGGACUGAUCACGUGGGUCUUGCCAUUUGUCCUUGGGAUUUUCAGGAGUUGGGACGCACCAUCAGACCAGAUUGGUCAUCACGUGGAGGAGUGAGCCUGGUAAGGCAAACUGACGUGUUGAGAGGGACCAGGAGCUGAUUGUGUGAAGUGCAAGUGUAACGCACUAAAGGGAGCUGCACAUGGGACGGUGACCCAUUUUUACGUGCAUGGAAAUUUCAUGCAAGGGACUUGGGUGAGAGAACAACCAGCCAUGUGAGUGGAGAUUGGGGCCCAGCAGAAGUGGCGCCCAUUUUUCCCUCCCAAUUCCCUCAUGUCAAGUGGCAAGUGGCUUAGUGGAUUCUAGGUGGCGCACCCUCAAGCUGCCUCAUGUUUCUCCAUGAUGACUCACCUAUUUUGUAGCUGGUUAUGGGACACUUUGGGCUGCCAUUUGUUGGGCAGAAUAGGGACAGCUUGUAAGGGUAUAUAAGGGGCUUGUUUCCCAUUACUUUGUAUGUAUGAGAGACCAUUGUAAUUGUGAGGCUGUUGAGAGUUUUCUUUGGCAAUUUGUACAGCGUUUGGGACGUGCAAUAUACAAGGAAACCUUGCAUCAGAUUUCUCUUCUUCUUCCUUUCUUUAUUUCGUGUAUGUUGCGCAUGGUUUGGGACAGGUUUGUUGUCGCUUGAGUUGGCUUGUUUGUGUUGCUUGAAGUGUUGGGCUAUUUUCAAUCCAUUGUGAGGAUUGUUGCCGUGGGUUUUGGGACCUAAGAGUGUUGGCUGAACUUGCUUUGAUGAGUGCAAGUGCCGCACGGUCCUUGUAGUUUGGUGUUCAAGCGAAAAGUGCCGUGACACACGACCCGGCCAGUUAAGGCCA
rnacentral:misc_RNA from 1 species